GGAGGAGGGUAUCAGUGGUACAGUGCGUGCUUAGCAUGCACAUGGUCCUGGGUUCAAUCCCCAGUACCUCCA
rnacentral:tRNA from 1 species